rnacentral:lncRNA from 1 species
ACAAGUUCCAAAGUUGAACUGCUUUAAACUUUACAGUCUUUGAAGCUGCAACAUCGCCAGUACAACGCACUUGUCACUUCAGGACUUUUUGUGCUUGGUUGGUAAUAUAAUGAUUAGCAUAAUAAGGAUAUUUGGGGCAGUUUUCCCUAUACUUCAUAGAAUUAACUUUUCAUUUAGGUUAGAAAAUUAUGUCUGGUUUCCAAAACGAUUACAGAGCAAUUUUCUUUCAAUGAUAACACACAAUGAUUAAGUAUACUUUGUUAAGUCUUUUGUUGUUACAAUAUACGAAAACCAGAUUAGUCUGAUAAAUUAAGUGGCUUUUUUUUUCUUUUCUUUUUCUCCCCUUUCCCUCCCUCCCUCUGUUUCUUUUAUUCUUUCUUGCUGCUGGGAAUUGAACCCUGAGCCACUUGAAUGCAAGGCAACUAAUUAACUAAUUUAUUUUCUUUCUUUCUUUGCUUCCUGCUUUUCUUUCCUUUUUUCUUUUUUCUUUCCUUCUUUUCUCUCAUUCCCUCCCUCUCUUCCUUCCUUCUGCUCUCCUUCCCUCCCUUCUUCUUUUCCUUCUUUUCCCUCCUUCUUUUUAAGAGAUUAAAAAUAUACAAAAGAGCCAAACCAAUAGAUUAGCAGGCUUUUGAUGACGGAAAUAUAGAAUGUCAUCUUAAAAGGACCUUGGAGUACUUUCAGUUCCAGACUUUUAAUUUACAAAUGAAAACCUGAGGUCCAGAAGUGUUCUGUGACUUGAUUAAAUUACUCAAGGCUGCACUGGUGACUCUUUGCUCUAAUCUAUGUGAACUCAGCAAAGCCAACGCAUGCCUUUUAAGUACAAAAACAUAUUUCAUUAAAAUUAGCCAUCCCUCCCAUUUGUUAAUGUCUAGCAGCUUUAAACUAGCCCAAAGGACAGGAUCUCACAACACAGAAGUUAUACUUCUUGGAAGAUUCUAGCCUAGAGGUAGGAAGGUGCUGGUUCAUCAUGACUUCACCAGAGUUUGGCAUAUAGUAGGUCCCCGUUAUAUACUGGCUAUUCAAAAAUUGCUAAUAGAAAAAUGUAUCUGUCUGGAAACAAGGUGACAGCAUUGAGGAAUGAUCCCUGGCUCCUUCUCCAGCCCUCUUUCAAUGGAGCCUGUCACAAAAAGUGGCAAGAAGCCCAAGGUCCUUGUGCCUAGGAAGAUUCCUCAUCCUUCUCAGAGCCACCUGAACCUGCUUGUUGGGAAUUCUCUGGGUUUCCUUCAAGCACACUCUGACAGCAGGCCCUUUGCAGUUCUCUUCUGUCCUCUAGCCUGGAUGGGAUGUGUGGUCAUAUGCUAAUGCCUCCAGUGGGUACACUGAUUGCAUUUGCUUACUCUGUGCUCUUUUUAUACCUUAAGGCAGUUAUCUUUUGUGAGAGUUAAGAUUUACCUUGGGAACUGAAACUCGUGUCUGAGUUUUCCACUGACAAUUUCAAAAGAAGGCUAAAUACAGACAGGGGUGUAAGGAAAAAUUUUAAUGCCCUGCUACUUUAAUCAGUUGCCAUUGGUUUAAAAAUCAAAUUUUAGAUGAUGAUGCUGUUGGCCAUAAAGUAAGUACCUACCUACCAGGUAUUGUGACAGGCACGUUUGAUGCACCGUUCAUCUGAUCUUUAUAACAAUCUUUUAAAGUAGGUGUUGUUGACAUGGAGCCAUUGUCAUCAUCUCUUUUUAACAGAUAAAAUUAAUGAGGUUUCAAAGAUUAUGUUUUGUGUCCAGAAUCUCACAAUUAUUAAAGUUCCAGGAUUAGGAUCCAAACUCUGAGCCUCAAGGCCCCCUCUCAGGUGCUGUGGAAUAAUGCCUCCAUCCUAACAUUGCUCUCAGUUUUCUGCUUCACUUUCUUUUGGACAUCAGGUCUCAAGUCUCAUGAUGCUCUAUUAUUCUCUGACCAUAUAGUCCUACAAUUGGAAACUCUUUAAUAUGAAGAUUGGAUCUUAUAUAAUAAUCAUCAUAUGUCCUAGAAAAAAUGUUUUGUUUUGUUUUGUUUUUGUCUUAGAAUGUUAUCUAAAACAAACAAACAAAAAUCCAAAUCUUUUUCUGGAACACAUUGGUGAAGUGGGAACCCUGGACUUUUGGACCCCAGCAUCCUGCAGGACCAUCCUUCCCCUCUCCAGGUUGCAAGGCUUUUCAGCUUUUUCUCACUGUUUCACACACACGCAGAUGAUCAGAAGUUCACACCUUGGUUUCCUGGAAGAGGAAAUGGCAUUUCCGGGAGGGGAUGAUGCGUGGGUGCUAAAGUUCCACUCCCUGCCUUAAACACACCCCAACUUUCAGUUGCGCACUUCUUUUCCUCCUUAGGUCUUUGCCCUAAAGUUUCCUGGAAUCAUGCUGAGUGCACCUGCUUCAUUAAGUUCUCUUCAGCUGAGAAAGAUGUGAUUCCUGCUUUGGACUCAGUCGCUCAAGAUUCCCAGGCGUCUUGUCCCUGCAGCUGUCACAAACCACUUUCCUCCAACUUGGAAUCUGGAAGAGAGCCUUAGACAUCACUUGGUGUACUUUUGGAUCUAGUGGGUGACUAUGCUGUGAUUUCCAUGGAAACCACCUCUUAUAUCCUUCUGUGGGAUUAACCUUUCAUAAGGGACUUAGGAUAGAAAUUGCAAAGGAGUUGUUCUUGUUUGAGCCUCAAUGUGGAGAAGGAUGGUAUUUGGGGAGAAGUAGGAUAUGACUGACAAUUGGAGGACAGGGCUAUUUAACAAGAACUUCUCUGUCUCUGCACAAGUCACCAUUUGGAGGAAGCCAAUUUGGACUAUUUUAUGAGGAAUUUGAUCACCCAGCUAUCCAUUUCCCCAAAGCCUGCCAGAAAUUGUUUUAAAAAAUGUCACACCCAAGUCCCCUGAAGAAUCCACAUGGAAUUCAAGGAUGGUGAUCUGCUGUAACCAAAGAUUUCAGUAACAUCUGAAGUUUGGCAUACAUUUAUUUGGAAAAUGUAAAAAUUAUUUUAGAAGAUAUUGAUUCAAAUGAGCUACAGAGAUGCAAACAAAAACAGGUAUUUUAAACUCACAGCUUGGACAGGGAAAGGGAGGUUUACUUUUUCCUCUUCAGCUCAACUUAAGAGUUUUAAGUGGGGAAAAAAAAAGAUAAUUGGAAUUUAAAACAUGUUAUUUUCAGAGGAUAGCUCUAAACCCCAAAGCAAAAAUUAGCCCUCCCAUAGGGGAAUAAAUAAACCACAGUUACUGUUGAUAAUAAUGCUAAUAUCAACUCUUGCAAAUCAUGGAAUGAACAGUGAAAGAGAAAUGCAAAACUCACUCACCCCAAGGUACCAAAGUGAAUAUGGUCAUGGUGUACUUCUGAAAAUCUUCCUAAAAGUAUUUAUUAAACAUAGUUAGUAAUGUUAAGAUACUUUACCCCUUUAGACCAUGUAGGGGUGGUAGUUAUUUAUUUCUUCAUUUAACAUAGUGAUUAGGGUGAUGCUAAAAUAUUUAUUAAUGCUUGCUGUGCAUUUACUCUGUGUGUCAGGGCAUGGAGUUGAAUUUAUUUUAAUUAUUUUAUUUGAUUAUUAUGCCAAAUUCUAUGAUAUGGGCAAUAUAACUCUUCAUUUUACAGAUAAGACAGUUGAGUUUGGGAGGCUAAACAAACAACUUCUCAGCUUUAUCUAGUCAAUAAGUGGUAAGCCUGAUUCAACUGAUCCUCAAAUCCAUGAAUUUUAAAUUAUAGACAGAAAAUAAGGCAAGAAUUGAAAUUGUAGCUUGACUCUUAAAAUAGUAAAAGAAUCAUGUAUUAUUUAAUUUCAAUUAAUAAAAUAUUCAGAGGGAAAAAGUUCUCACAUGUAUAGAUGUUCACACAUGUAUAGAUAACCAGUGCAUAAAUUAUAAUGUAUUGCAAUAUUAAUAAUAAAAUCACAGAAAAUGAAGCCAAGUGUAAUUCUUAAUGAUGAAAAAUAGAGCAAAAAAAUUUUUUUACUGAGCAUCAAUUUUAUUAUAUUAUGAGAGGAUGAAAUUAAGAAUGAAAGUUUCCCUUUUUAAAAUGUUUUUAAGGUGGAAUAAUUCUAAAAACCUAAUAUUUGUGCCUUAUUUCAGUCUUUGUUUCACUAUUCUAUGGGCAUUGACUUUGUAGUCACUACUGUAAUAAGGAAACUAAUUGUAGCAAAAGUUCUGAUUCAAACAGUGAAUAUUUUCAAUAUUUUUAGCAUUGAUACAAGUUAACACAAUAAACUCCAGGUGUAUUUCUAAGUUCUAAGGGCAGAAUCAGCAAAUGGCUAGUCCAGUAUUUCUAAGGCCAAACAGAUAUGGUUCUCUUGGUUUCUGGAAGUCUAGGGACACAUACCAGCCAUAGUAAGUAUGGCCCAAAUAGUCAUAAAAUUUUGUCUGAAAUUAAAGAGAUAUGGAUGAGAAGAUUUACAGAGACCACUUUUUAGUGAUUCUCCUCUACCAGGAGAAAAAUGCCUCUGGAAAGACAAUACUCCUGAUGAGAAACCCUCCCCAGGGAGGGUUUAUAUAUCUGAGAAUUAAUGUGUGAAUCUAGGAGGAUGAAAGUCAGGAUGAAAUCUUCUGUCGUGUUUAUAAAUUUGAUUAUUGCAAUUCUACAAUUUGACCUAGUGCGAUUGCUCUAGGAUUUGAAAAGGCUAAUGUGUUACUUUAGAAUAAAUCUUAAUCUUUUUGAAAACAAAAAGGCAAUCCUCUCCUUAGUCCAUUUUAUUCCAUCCAUACUAACACAUUUAGUAGAUGAUUUUAUUCUGCCAUCAAUACCCCCUUUACACACAUGCACGCAUACACAAACACUGUCUGGAAAGAAUUUUUCAUUUUAUGAAAAGUAUAUUGGACUACAUAGGAUAUUCCAUCAGGUUUCUUCCAACUCCCAAAUUCUGAAAAUAAGUGUCAAAUUGAAGAAAGCACUAACUCUCAGCAAGGGGGGUUGUACAGCAAUUUACUUCUAAUGGACUCACUGUUGAUUUAGUCUAAUAUACUCACUGGUAUAAAAAAAUUCCAAAUGCCCUUGAAGAAGUCCUAUAAUUAUGGCAUCAGGAAAGCAAUGAAAAUCAUUAGUCUCUUCUUUGUGUACAGCCUUCUUGGUAAUACCCUACCUUCAACCAUUCACUUCAAAGGAAAAAGUUGUAGAACAAAAAUAUAAAACAUUUUUUUCUCCCCUCAGUGGUUGAGACUAAAUGGACCAUAGUUCAUUUGGGGGCAACUGAGUUAGAUGUGCUCUGAGUAUGGUCAUGGUUUAUUCCUCCAAUGCAAGCAUCUCACCCUGAAAUUGUUUGUUUUGGGGCCUCAAAUGGCAACUCAGAACUGGUUAUUUCUUUCAAUGUGAAUUGGCUGAUGUGUUGUAAAUAGGUCUGUGAUGGUAUUUCUAUUUCUUCUCCUUCUCCUUCUCCUCCUUCUCCUUCUCCUCUCUCUUUCCUUCUCUCUUUCUUUCUCUCUUUCUUUCCUUACCCCUGCCUCUCACUAGACAGGAACAGCCCAGAAAAGUGGAAAAUUUCUGUGUUUUGAGAUUCAGGCUAUAAUUCAGAAAGAACAACAGCUUAUGUUUGUACGUCUGUGCAACAUUAAAAUAAUGGGAAAUGAAUGAGCUAAUCUUUUUGUAUAUCCUACAAGAACUUAAUGGAGAUAUAAUUCUUGAAGAUUAAAGGUAUUUGAAAUCAGAAGAUACGUUUAUUUUUAGAACUAGACUGCAAAUGUCAUGUGUUAUUUUACAAUCUCUUUCUCCCACAUAAUUGUUUUAGAGUUAAUAAAAGGGGGAGGUUCAUAAUACAACCUGCCAAUUUCAUAAGGAAGAUUGAGUAGAUAAAAACCUGUAAAAUGCUUUGACCCACUAUAAGCCUCAAAAAGAAAAUGCAGACUUUGGAAUGAAUAUCUGCUCUUUAUAGGGCAUUUGCAACCUAGUGUUUUACAGAUAUAAGCUUAUUUAACACUCAUAUCAACCCUAUAAUUUGGGUGACAUUUACACUUUAUAGACGAGAACAUUGAGGCUCAGAGAAGCUGAAUAACUGGAUUCAAGAUCACAAAGCAAGGGAUUGGCAGAGCCAAAAUCAGAACCUGGGGUGGCUCUGUUCAGAGCCUAUCCUGAGCAUUCUAGAGAAUUCUGGCCACCAGCUACAAAGGCCACAAAUUGGGGGUGUAUUCCACAUGCUGAUUUUGAAAGACAAUAUUUAUUAUUUUUCCUAUGAUAAAGUAAUGCAUUUGGGCACACACACACACACACACAGAAACACAAAUUAUAAUUAGAAAAAAAGUAAAAGAAGAAAAAAAAAGGUUAACCAUAAUUUCACAACCCAAAGACAGUUAAUCUUCUGGUUUAUUACUUUAUAUUCUUAUAUCCAUGCAUAGUAUUUGGAAUUGUAUUAUUUUAAAAAUAACUCCUAUUGGUUGCCUGAUUAUAAGGUAAUGAAUAUUCACCAUAGAAAUUUUGAAAAAUACAAUAAUGUAUAUAAGAAAAAAUUUAAAUCACUCAUAAUCUCAAAAUGUAAAAAUAACUGUUAAAACUUUGGCCUUUUAUUCUUUUCAUGACUGAAACCAACAGCACAUAACUUGAAACUUUAUUUACUUAUUAGUGAUUUAAAAUGAUCUGCAUCAUACAGUUUAUAGUUUAGUUUACACAUCAUUUUUUUUAGGUUGUUUGGUUUUUACUUGAUUUGUUGUUUUAUUUUUCCUGAAAUUACAAAUUUGAUUUUCAGACAGAUGGUUAGAAUGACGUGGUUGCUCUAAAUAGAACUCUCUACUUUUCACUGAAGGACAAAAAUUACUCCCACAUACAAAAGAAAAAAGAAAAACACCUCAAAGAAGGAAUCAUGAUACUGUUUCAAUCUGCCCUGAUAACACCACAGAAACACUUCGACUUUUUAUGCUUUUUUUCAUCUGCAACUGGUUUUAAGCAACUUUUCAUCAAGACUAAAACAAUUGACACUGAACUGCCAGAUCAAGUAAAUAAAUCUGGGGUUACAUGACUUGGGGAGGGCUGCAGAAAUGUGAAUUAAAUCUUAAUCACACUAAGAAAGUUUUUUACGGCUCCCAAAGCCAGAAUGCUAUUCUUUGAGAAUCUUUGCACCCUGUGAUUUAACCUGCCAAGGACACUUAAAGAACUUAAGAACUCAAAAAGUGUCCAGGGUAAGACUCAGCAAGGUGCACCAAGUCUGGCUGCCACAACUGUGCUAAGAAGAUUUGGCUUUUCCCAGGGAUAUAGUAGGAACCUGAGCAAAGGAAACGAAAUGAUAAAUAAACUGAAAGUUUUUAAACUUACAUUCUCAAGUUUAUGCUCUUUUGUCUACUCAACAGAGUAGCAAAGCACUAAAAGGGUUUUUAGAAAACUCUUGUACAUGAAUAUUUCCCCCAAACUUCUCUGUAUGUUUUUUUUUUCAGAAUCAUACUUUUUCUUUUCCUUGCAAUUGUAUUUUGAUAGAAUGCAGAUCUCUUCCAUGGUUCUCAACUUAAAUUCUUCCUUUUAUUUCCCAGCUAUGAGAGAAAAUUCCAAAAAUUCCAAGCCGUACUUUGUAAUUCCUUGAACAUAGUGGAUCCAUUAUGUACAUUAUAGAGAGGGUGUGGAGAAAGUGGAAUUCUCAUGCAAAUUAGUACAACUUUGGAAAAUUGUCUCACAAUAUCUGCUACAGCUGAACAUAGCACCACCAGUGACCCAGGCAGAUCAUAUGUCCACAAGCUACAGAAAUGUGUCCAGAUGCACUAAAAGACAUGUACAGUUCAUCCAUCCUAGUAUUGUUCAUAAUCACCUCAAACUGGAAGCAACCCAAGUGCAUCGUGAAAUUGUGGUUCUUCAAUCAAUUGAAUCCAUGCACAGAAGAAUUAACACAAGAAUGCCAUAUGCCACUCUCUGAGCACAUCUUGCCAACAUAAUGUUGAGUGAAAGAAGCCAGUUUCCCCCAACGGACUUACUGUAUGUUUUCAUUUACAUAAAGUUAAAAAGUAAGUAGAAUUAAUUGGUGUGAUGUGGAGUUAGGACAGUAGUUAUUCCAGCAGGGAGGUGGGUGGUGGAGUGUCUGACCUCUGGCUGCCUAUGGUGACUUUUAUUACUAGAUACGGAGGAUGGUCACAUAGGUAUGCCCUCCUUGUAAGAGUUCAUCUAGCUGUCCACCACUGGUGAGUUGUUUACUUUUCUGAAUGUGUCAAUUCCAAUAAAAAAAGAUUAUUUGAAAAUGGACUCUAAUAGUAUUGUAUUUAUAAAGCUCUUUCUGUGUAGCCAGAAGCAGGAUUGGUUUCCCAGGUGAUGUGGAGUUCACCAGGGGUUCAGUGAGUAGGGAUUAGGUGGCAAUUGUGCUAAUUCCUCCUUUCUGUUAUUUAGGAGGCCAACAAUCUGAGCUUAAUGACAGUGUGACCUCAAACAAGUCAUUGAUAUUUUCUGGGUCUUUUCCUUCAUUUGAGAAGUGCAGAAGCUAGAUAACGCACGGUCUCCAGUCGUUCUGACCCUCACUGCUUUGGUUCUGUACCCUUCUUCCUCUUCAAGGUUUCCCCCACCUCUUCCUGUCCCCUCUCCCUCCCCUCCUCUCCUCCCAGGUGUGUGCCUGUGUCCUUCUCUUUGUCCUCUCUUUCUGUGGCUCCCCUGGCUUCCCAGUACUGCGCCUUAUACAUACUUAGAAAAUAAUAAUAAUAAUAAUUCAUUUGUUCCAUAGAGGCAAAAGUUCAGUAAAGUUUGAAUUCUGUGAUAUUUAAAUUUCCCCGAAAAUCCCAAAAUUGAAUUUAUCCUAACUUGGGCAAGAGGAAAUUCAUGCCAAUUUUUAAACAGAAUCCAAUAACAAACAUGCCCCCAAACCAAAUGGUAGCAGUGAUGGCUCCCUCAAUAUGGUUAUUUGGAGGUGGCACAUUCAUAUGAGUAAAUAGCAUCAAGUCUAAAUAAAGUUACAAGAAAGCUUAUUCAGAGAAUAUUAAUUUGGGGCAAUUAAAGAUAAGGUUUUAAUGAUUGAGGUCUUGGGGACUGAUAAAAGCUAUUUAAAAAAAUUGGAUGGUAAAGAUUUGCCAGUUUGUCCUCAGAAUUGUUGAAUUGCCCUUAAUCAUACUUCUUUAGUUAAGGAGAUAAAACUGUUGCUAAACUGCAGGAGAGGAAGUCUCUUUAGCUUGAUAUAAAUGUCAUUUGGAUCAUAUGCAAGAUUAUUUGCAAAUGGAC